rnacentral:rRNA from 1 species
CCCUAAGCGGGUGGUAAACUCCAUCUAAGGCUAAAUAUGACCACGAGACCGAUAGCGAACAAGUACCGUGAAGGAAAGUUGAAAAGAACUUUGAAGGGAGAGUUCAAGAGUACGUGAAACCGUUCAGGGGUAAACCUGAGAAACUCGAAAGGGGAAAUUCAACGCGUCUCGGAGCUCGCGACCGAUGCUCGGCAUGACGGGUGGCCCCGCUACUAGCGGCGGACGGCCCGCUCCGCGCGCCGAACGAUCGGGCACCGAUCGCGCGCACUUCUCCUCCUGUAGGACGUCGUUACCCAUUGGGCGCCGGCCUAAGGUUCGCGGUGGAAACCGGACGCCUUUGGCACGUCCGAACNCGCUGUGUCCCGGCCGGCUUGACCGACGGUAUAACCAAGGCGCGGGGCCGCGACACGUUCGUAUCCGGCGCGUCCCAAGCGCGAACGGCGAACGGGGCGUCCGGGCCAGGUACCGGAUCCCCGACGGUUCGGCUGUUGGCUGCGCGGUCCUCGGACAGACCCCGUACACGCCAGUCUACGGCGCUAUAGCUU